CUUUUUGCCUUUUCUUGAGCCACUCCCGAGGCAUAGGGAGGUUCCCAGGCUAGGGACGGGGAAAAAAAAAUAAAAUAAAAAAGACCGGGGGCUUUAGCUUUUAUUUCCCUUGAUGUUUAUCUGAGGGGGAUGAAGAAAGGAAAGAAGGUAAAAAUGAUGUAGAGAGGACAAGAACUACCCUUUACCGAGAACUCUUGCCUGUCGGCUCUUUUGUUUUCAAAGGAAAACAACUUCUUCCCUAUGUAACGACAGGCUUUCGCAGUUCCUCCCCUGGCGGUGCCGCAGUCAACUGUUGGGACGCUCACAGCGCCGGGCCACUGUCACCACAGCCCCGUUGAGAGCAUGUCAUCAGCCCCCAAAGAAACCCCUUGCGCAUUAGCAGUAUCUUCUUUCAACGCCACCAGCCCUAGGCAACCCCUGGUCUGCCUUCUGUCUCUGGGGAUCUUCCUUUCCAGGACAUUUCGCACGCACAGACCCAGACAGCAGGUGACAGGCGUCUCUCGCGUGGCACAACGUUACCCAGGUUCACCCACGUCGCAGCAGCAGCACAUCAGUACUUCAUACUCUUACUGCCAGACAACAUCGUACGGUAGGGAUACCCCCGCUGCUAAAGCGUUUUUAAAGUAGAGUUGACUUGCAACGUUCCUUCGAUUUCUGCCAUACAGCAGAGUGACCCAGCCAUAGACACACACACACACACACACACUCUUUUUUUUUUUUUUCAUACUACCUCCCAACACGCUCUAACCCAAGAGACGGUGCAGAGAUCCCUGCGCUGUCCAGUAGGACCCCGUUACCUCCCGGUUCUAAAUGAGUUUGAGGUUGGACACACACAGAUUAUUCAUCCCCCGUCAGCUGAUGGACAGGUGGCGUGUUGCUACUUUUUAGGCAUCAUGAGGAACGCUGCCGUGAAGCGUCAGGUACAAGCGUUUGUAUGGACAUGUGUUUUCGUUUCUUUUAGAUAAACGUCUAGGAGCCGACUUGCCGGGUCUUACAGUUAAACUCUACUUAUCUUUCAAGAAACGUGCCAGACUUCAGCAAACUAUUUAGCUUCAAAUAGUCAAAUAGUAGUAACUACUUAUCCGACUAACAUCUUGGGGUACCUGAGGUCACUAUCACCACUCAUACGUUCAAGCUGUUGCUGUUGUUGGCAACACCUGCGGCAUAUGCAAGCUCCUGGGCCAGGGACUGAAUCCAAACCGCAGCUGGGACCCACGCCACAGCUGUGCCAACGCCGGUCCUUAACCCACUGUGCCUCAGCAGGGAACUCCAUUUCAAAUGGUUUUAAUGACUUUUAAGUUGGUAAAGCGUCUGUAGGAAAAAGUAAACUUGCAGAAGAAAGCAGAUUGAAAGGCUAGAAAAAGAGAAAACUCUACUUUCAUUUGCUCCUUGGAAACACUGAAAAGCAUCAUGGGACAGAUCAGAUGCAAGAGCCAAAAUUACAGUUAUUUACGAGAAAUGGCAAAGAGGUGCCUAAGGUCAGCAACACGCAUCCGAGUGCGAGGAUGAGUGUAUACAACGGGAAAGCUGUCAGAGCAACCACGAAAAUUUCUGCCAACGCUUCCAUCCUCCUGGAGUCACUCGGGAAAAGACUUUGCUCUGCCCCUUACAACCUCUCUCACUGUCCGACAGCAAAUCAGCAGACGGGCUCUCAACCGUGUCAGCUGUUCCCAAACAGCCUCAUCACCGGUCGGGAAAUGUGCAUUUUCAAUAAACAUGCUAAUGGCCUGAGGCAGUGUCCCCUUGCAGUAAGACUGUCCUUCUAGAGCUCUAUGGGCCACUAUGGCUAUAACCGCUGACCACAUGUGGUUACUGAACACUCACAAGAUUUUAAAAUUUGUUACUUAACUUUAAUGAUUUUAAAGUUUAAAACCAAAGCAAUGGAAAUCCUUUCAUGUUGAUCACAGUUACUGCAGAUGCAGAGAGUUACAUGAGAACACAUUAUUAAAGUUCAUUUCAUCUGUUUCUUUUCCCCCUUUUUAUGUGGCUAUUACAGGAAAAAAAAAAAAUUUUUAGUGGCCACACCCAUGGGCAUAUGGAAGCUCCCUGGCCAGAGACUGGAUCCGAGCUACAGCUGUGAUCUAUGCCACAGUUGCAGCAACGCUGGAUCCUUUAACCCACUGCACCAGGCCAGGGACUGAACCUGCACCUCCACAGCGACUCGAGCCACCAUAGUCACAUUCUUUUUUUUUUUUUUUAAGGCCACAUCUGCGGCAUUUGGAAGUUCCAGGCUAGGGGUCAAAUUAGAGCUGCAUCCACUGGCCAAGGCUGCAGCCACAGCAACGCAGGAUCCGAGCCAUGUCUACAAUCUACACCACAGCUCAAUGCAACCCCAGAUCCUGAACCUGCUGAGCGAGGCCAGGGAUUGAACUUGCAUCCUGAUGGGUACUACUUGGGUUUGUUACCGCCCAUCCACAAUGGCAACUCCUGCAGUCAGAUUCUUAACCCACUGUGCCACAGCAGGAACUACUAGAAAAUUUUAAAGUACAUAUGUCUCUGAGAAUAUACUAAAAACCAGUGGAUUGAACACUUUAAAUAAGUGAAUCACAUCAGUGAAUCACAUCGCAAUAAAGCUGGGUUUCUUAAUACGUGCACAGCUCAUACUGCAUUUCUAUGAAGUACCGUGAGUCAGUUAUAGUAAUAAUGAGAAAGGAAAAAGAGAAUCACAUUCAUCUCCUGUUUGUAUGAUGCCUUUGUGAUAGACCUGUUUACCAAACAAGGCAAGUAAAAUUCUAAGGCCAGUAAAAAAGAGAAUCAUCAUUACUGAAGAAAUUAAUCUCACUAAUCACAACUGAGAGCUGCCACAGUUAUCAGAAAAUAUUCCAUGUGAGGACGGAAAAGACAAAGAAAAUACAGAAACAAAAAAAUAAAUACAUUGGCGCUCCCGCUGUGGUGCGAUGGGAUCUACCGUGUCUCUGCAGCACCAGAACACAGGUUUGAUUCCUGGCCGGGCACAGAGGGUUAAAAAGGAUCCAGUGAUGCCAUAGCUGUGGCACAGGUCACAACUGCAGCUUGGAGCUGAUCCCUGGCCCAGGAACUGCAUGUGCUGCAGGGCAGCCAAAAAAGAAAGAAAAAAAAAAAAAAAAAA
rnacentral:lncRNA from 1 species